GUCAAAAGAGUCCUCAGAAGUGUCCUGAGCGGUCGCAGGGUAAUGACGUCGGCCGUAUCGGGGAUGCUGGAACCUGCGGUUGAGUGAGAAACCGGCGCCACCGCCUGCGUCUUGGUCUCGGGCUGGUGGCCAGCGGGGUCUGGGCGUGGUUUUACCCAGCUCCUUUGCGAAGCUGCUGUCCUUUCCUCAACGUUACCACCCGGCUGGGCAGCCUACCCUCGGUCACAGCAACAGGUGUGCACCUUCCAAGCUUGCAACAGACCACAUUCAGAAGCUUGAUUUCUUGUUGUUCUGGGAAUAUCUGGAUCAGAGGUAACAUGGUUCACUAGGACUCCUCAGCUUCACCCAGUGUCCAUUUCACCUCCCCCGGCCUUCCAAUGUCUCUUCUUGCAGAUUUCUCCAAGCCACUCUCCCCGUCAUCUCCUCCACCCCCAGGACCCAACUCCUGCCCCUCCCACCCUAGCCCCUGUUCUCCCUGCCCACCUCCUACCCCACUGGAGUGGCCUUUCAUCAAACCUAAACCAAAGAAACCAACAGACCUUGCUGUCACCACUACUCCGGGACCUGGAAGUUAAAGCGAGGGAGAGACGGUGAAACACAGAAAGCAGAACGCCUUCUGUUCUUCCACAACACAGGGUUUGUGGACGUGGCCACUAUAAGAACUCGCACUGCGUGCUGAUUAUACUCCUCAGCACAAUUCAUUUCUUAAACUUUUUAGAAUAAUUUAAAAUUUACAAAAAGUUGCAAAAAUAAAAACCAGUAAACUUUU
rnacentral:lncRNA from 1 species